ACCCAAGCAGUUCCUAGUCACUUGUUGAUGCGGAAGGCCUCGCUUGUCUCCAUGAUUAUUUAACAUGAGACAGUGUGUCCUCCCUUGUCACGUGAUUUAUUAACAACAGUGGCGAUG
rnacentral:precursor_RNA from 10 species